UCUACAGGUACAGGCAGCCCAGCAAGCCAGGGAAAGAUUUCCAAGCCGACAGAUGCGCGAACUGAAAAAGGAGAUGCAGGAUCUAUGGCGGGAAGGCCUGGGAGUGCGGCGAAGCUCCCCACGCCCUCGGAUUCCGCCUGACUUCUCGGGUCUGCCCAGCUUCUCCAUCACCAGGGGCUCGCUCCGCUCCGCAGCGGCACCCAACACCUUCGCGGUCCACCGCACCGCUGCCCACCUGGUUUCCUGCCAGGGCUCCCGCCCACCGCACGGUGACUGACAGGCCGGCGCGGACGGACGACCCCUCCGCGGGAAGACACCCCACGCCUAACUUUGAAACGCGGGGGCCCCCCGCUCUACUCAGCGGCGCCCGGACCGCCGCCCCCUCCCCCGGCUCCUCGGGCCGCUUCCCACCUCCAGCCCCGGGCUCCCCGCGUGNNNNNNNNNNNNNNNNNNNNNNNNNNGCCCGGACCGUCCCCUCGGGGCCAGCGCCGCCCCCACCCCACCGGCUCGCGCGCCGCGGCUUCGCCUCGCCUCACCCGGGGUUCUCGGCCGGGGCUCCCGCGCCGGCCGCAGCUUCAGCCCGACGAACAAUGGCAGGAGGCGGCGCCCGCGUCCGAGGCUCCGGCC
ensembl:lincRNA Gm13063 predicted gene 13063